rnacentral:lncRNA from 1 species
CUCAUACCUGGAGCAACUCACCCGUUGACCAGUGAAUUCUUGCAGGAGGAAGCUGCUGUAAAGGAGCUCCUACUGGUGGAGCAAGAAGAGCCGAUCUGGAUGUCAGAGGCCCCUUUGGAACUGUGUCCUCAGAAUACCACAGUGGCAAGGCGCUGAGGAAUCACAAAGCUGUCACCAGGAAAUGUCUGUGGGCCCGGGGUCAGGAGAGUGAAGAGAAGUCCCAGCCUUGGAGCUGAUUGACAGGAGACACUGUCGGAGCUGGAGGCGGGUGUCCAGGGACUGUGGCUGAACUGGAGGUGGAGGAGACUGAAAGGAGUGUCCUCUGUGCCUGGAAAUCCUGCCUAGCUAUUGGCCAUUCAGCGUUUUAUUAAACCAAUCAGAGUGACACUUCUUUACAGUGUCCAAAAAGAUUAUUCCACAACACAUCAUCGACUUUGCCAGGAGAAGGGAGUAUGUAUGGGAGAAGCGAGUCUGGUAAGACACUUGCCGGGACAAUAGAAGCAAUGGUACCUUGUAAGCACGAUAAAGCCAGGGGCUCCAUCUGUCUACAGGACAAAUGAACAUUUCUGCUUACAGUUUGAGAGUUCUGAACUUUGCAUCGUGUUAGAAAGAUCUUCUUCCACAUAAAAUUGUGACAGGAUGAUGUGUGAGAACAGAG